UACAGAGGGUGCAAGCGUUGUUCGGAAUUACUGGGCGUAAAGGGCGCGUAGGCGGUCUUGCAAGUCAGAUGUGAAAGCCCAGGGCUUAACCCUGGAAGUGCAUUUGAAACUGCAAGACUUGAGUGAUGUAGAGGUUGGUGGAAUUCCUAGUGGAGAGGUGAAAUUCGUAGAUAUUAGGAGGAACACCGGUGGCGAAGGCGGCCAACUGGGCAUUAACUGACGCUGAGGCGCGAGAGCAUGGGGAGCAAACAGG
rnacentral:rRNA from 1 species